AGUUGUCCUUGACUGCAUGGUUUCUGCUGGUCCAAGCAAACUUCUCCUGCCACGCCUAACCUUGGAGAGCAGGCUGGAGUGCGGUGGCACCAUCACAGCUCACUGCAGCCUCAGUCUCCUGGGCUUAAGGGAUCGUUUUGCAUCAGUCUCUGGGUAGCUGGGCCUACAGGCGCACACCACCAAACCCAGCUAACUUUUUAUUUUUUGUGGAGAUGGGGGUCUCUCUACAUUGCCCAGACUGGUCUCAAACUCCCGGCAUCAGGUGGUCCUCCUGCCUUGGCCUCCCAAAAUGCUGGGAUUACAGUGAUCAAUGGAGGAAGUGUUUCAUGGUGGACAUGGGAAACUGGCCAGAUCAACUGCUGUCACCUUCUAAGACCCAGACGGGGAGGAGGAAUGCCAGAGAAGCUGCAGACUCUCCGGCCACGGAGCCUGAGUGGAGCAGAGGUGGCCCACUGUCAGCCACAGGUCAAGUGUCAGGGUGGGGACGGGGCAGGCUCCACCAGAAGGCGGGGGCAGGCUCCACCAGAAGGCGGGGCCAGACCACAGGGCAAGGUGGAGAUGAGUCUGUGGCACCCCCAGGAAGUUUACCAGAUUUGCCCCAGAGCUUCUGACCCUUUGGAUCUCUCUGGGCUGCAUUCUUCAGGGUCCCAUUGCUUCUUUCUUGAAGGUGGAAGGAAAUGUUCCCAUCAGAGCCUUCCAACAGGCCACCUUGGGGGCUUCUCCUGAGAGCUCCUUGUGCACACACCCCUUCAGGGUGGCUUGGGUUGCGCCCUCAGACCCCAGUGGGGGGCCGUAUGGCAUCCUCCUUGGUCAGCAAGUGAGCCACAGCAGCAGGCCCCUCACAGACCUCAGCCUGGGGCCACAGGUCCCUUCUCCCCAUCUCCGCAUCUGGAGAAGCAACCUGUGGAGCAGCCAAGAGUGGCAGCCCUGGCUCUCUACAGCAUUCAUUUUCAGGGCAAGACAGAGCAUUUCCACUAUUAUGCUCCCCCCCCCGGCCUUUUUUUUUUUUUUUUGAGACAGGGUCUCACUCUGUUGCCCAGGCUGGAGUGCGGUGGCGCAAUCAUGGCUCACUGCAGCCUCGACCUUCUGGGGUCAAGUGAUCCUCCCAAUUCAGCCUCCAAAUUUCUUUAAACAAAAAAAAAUGCAAGAAAGGCAAAACAAGAUAUUUAUCUGGGCUGAGAGGGUAAAGAGAAGCUCUAUCUUUGAGCUGAGACACAAAAUGGAAAGAAGAGGCAGCAGCAGCGGCAGUAGCAGUUCUGCCUUUCCAAACCUUCCCUAUCUAAGUGCUUUCAAGAUAUGCUGAAAGUCAUGAAUUGAAGUGUGGUUCCCACGGCUUUAGUCCUUGUAUGAAGGUCCUUUUGCUAGAACUUACUUCCUUUCCAGCCCAUAUGGUUGACCUGGGGGUCCAGGCAGUUCUCAAGGGAACCACAGGAUUCCAUGUGAUCUGGGAUCCCAGUUGAUGAUCCCUCUUCUGGUCACAAGCUGAAUUGGACCCAAAUCUGCACCCUAAACUCCCCUCUUGCCAGAUCCUGCCCAGUCAGUGCCGUCCCCUCAGACUGGGUGGGCAGCCUGGGCUUCCUGCUGAGACGGGACCCCCCCCUCUCUUCUUGAUCUCACUCCCAGGAAAGACACUGAAGGAGCAGAGGUGUGGACGCCACAUACUGGACGGGGUUUCACCAUCUGCUGGGACGGGACACCCUCUCUUCUUGAUCUCACUCCCAGAAAAGACACUGAAGGAGCAGAGGUGUGGACGCCUCAUACUGCUAGAGACGGGGUUUCACCGUGUUAGCCAGGAUGGUCUCAAUCUCCUGAAGUCGUGAUCCACCCGCCUUGGCCUCCCAAAGUGCUGGGAUUACAGGCGUGAGCCACUGCACCCGGCUGAAAUUGUAUACUUUAAAGGGAUGAAUUUUAUGGUAUGUGAAUUAUGUCUCAUUAAAAAAAACAAACUGUUAAGAAAA
ensembl:lncRNA LINC00671 long intergenic non-protein coding RNA 671